rnacentral:lncRNA from 1 species
GAUACUGACAUGACUAUAAACUAUUGGCUCAGAUUUUUUUUUACAGUAAGGGGAGGUAAGGCAUUAUAGCCUUAAGUGUAAAUUGGGCUGAAUGUUUUCUUUAAUGCAGUUACUUUACAAUUAUAUAUUGGCGAAUAAAUUAUUCCAUCAUGUUCAUAUCUUUUUAUUUCUUGUGUGAUGUUUUUGUUCAGUAUUGUUGUUUUUUUUUUUUUGUUAUUUCAUAAUAUGCAUUUUU